UCUGGAUUACAGGCUUGAGCCCACCGCGCCCGGCCAACGCACACACAUCUUUAGGGAUGAUGAGAAGUGCCCAGGCAGCCCAGUGAAGGCUGAGAAACAGAACCCACCCCCACAUCCCUGCCCCACCCUGCCUGCUGUCUGCUCGUCCUAGCCCCAGCUCCACCAUGGGGUCCCGCUGAGAGGCCUGCUCCGACCCUGCUCUCUCAGGGGCAGACCAAGACCCUGAGAGAGAAGCUGAGCAGAGUCCAGGGUCAGCACCUGGCUGUGCCUCCCUUGUGUUUGUAGGAACUGUGUGGGGACCUCUGUGGAGCAGGGCCUAGGGCGGCACUGGAACCCCGGUGUCAGCAAGGUGGGGUGGCACCGUGUCUGUGCUGCUGCCUCACCGGGCCUCCUGUGGGGGGACAGAUGCCCUGGGACGUGGGCCCUCAUGGGGUGAUGACAGGCAGGAUGGAGAGGAGUCCUGCGGCACUGCUGGGGCUGCCUCUGAGCCUGGCGGGACCACAUUUAGCCACAAAGUUCCCACAUGCCCCAGCAGUCCUACUAGGUGUCUGCCCGAGGGAAAGCACCUGCAUGGCCACCGAGGCUCACACACACUGCCCACAGUGGCAGCAUCCAGGAAACCACCCCGUGUCCCCCAGGCAUUCUGAAAUUAGAUCCUUGUGGUGGUUGCUCAACUCUGGGGAUAUGCGAAAACCCACUGCCCGGUGCAUCAUGAACAGGCAGGUCUGUGGCACGAACUUGUACCUUGUAAAGCUGCUAAGGACAAGACAGCUUGGAACAGGGCUGUGCUCACGGGAGACUGCAUUCUAGCCCCUCUGGCUGCUGGUGGCCUGGUGGGGCUCCCUUCAGCAUCCUCAGAGGAUGCUCCGGGCUGGUCUCGGGUAGCCGUAGCCCUCACUUCCCAGCCCACCCCAGCUGUGCCGGCGCUUUACAGGGAAGUGGGUCAGGCCAGGUGUAGCAUGUCCUGCUCUGCCCUCCCUUCACGUUGCUGGCAGCACCGUGCCCUAGGCCUGCCAGCCAGAGCCCCCAGACCCAUCCUGUACAUGUCUGUCUCUCACCGCCCUCCUCGUUCUCUCUUGCCCCUGUGCCUUCUCCCUCCCUGCUGACCUGCAUUGGCUCUGUGGCCCCUGUUCUCGCCUCCUGCAGCCCCAGCUGGCUGGCUUGGCUCCUGUGCUGCCUCAGUUUCCUCAAUAGCUCCACCCACUUCCCUUCCACAGAAAAUCCCCCCAGGAGAGGGUGUGUGCAGCCAGGCUCUCUUCUCCGAGACAGGGCUGCCUGACCCAGCCCUGCUGCCUGCGCAGCUCCCACUCACCUUCUGGACUCGCCCCCUUCAGUCAGGGCACAGCAGCACCCACCACCCCACCCCCACGCUGCUGUCAGCAGGACGUGGAGGGUCCUGUGCAGUGAGCUCACAUUGUGGGGUGCACGGCCCCCACCCCAGGCGAGGCCCCCAGGAUCCUCCUGUUGCAUCAUCCAGCGCAUGGGUGGGACCAGUGCCCGGAGUCCAGGACUGGAUACGAGAAGUCCUCUCUCAGAAGGAACAAGGGCUUGAUUUAAGAACAUCCAAGCUCAUUCCUCCUCCUGCCCACCCUUCAUUGUUGCCCACUCCUCAGGUGUGUCCACCAUCACCCCGAAAGUACUGGGGGCUGUGCACACUCACCUCUUCUUGGCCCCGCAGCCUCGCGGCUGACACAGCCAGUCCCGGAUUCCUGGAGGAGGAACAGUGCGCUGCUGAGUCCCACUGAGUCUGGUGAGGCCCGGCUGACCCAGGCCUGAGUCUGCUCCUGGCUCCCAGCCCAGGGAGGCUGCCUGGGCAGCAGGACUGAGACGCAGGACCUGCUGGGCAGAGACUCAGCUGGAACAAGCAGCCCUGCCGUUGCUGAGCAGCUGGUGUGUGGAUCUUUCACAUUUGUUCCUGUCCAGCCAGGCUGCCGUAGGCCUGCAUGUGAGAGGGCAUCUUUUGGAUGGUGACAGGCUGGUGAGCCCUUGAGGGCGUCCGAGCCCUGGGGCCAGCAUUGUGGAUGGUGCCAUCACCUGUCCCCACGUAGGUCUGCAGAGAGCAUGCCCAGCUCCCAUGGCCCACCAGCUCAGCCUCCAUGUCAUGCCUGGCCACACGUGGGAGCAAGGCCUCUGCUGCCAGCCGCCAUACUCCCUUCAGACCCAGCUCCUCUCUCAGGCUGCAGAAAUGUGCGUUCAGGUCAGCAGGGGCCGUGUGCAUUUGGCUGAUUCCAUUCUGGGGUCUGGAAUGGGCUUUCAGAGCCCACACUUCUCUGCCCUCCUGUUCUGACCAGCACCUCGUUCUGCCACCAGACCCCCUUGUUCCUGCUCCUCUCCCUCUGCUGCCUCCUCAAGGACAGGGUAUUUGUAACAGUUUUAAGUGGUCAGAAGAAGGUAUCAGGAUGGCUGAUGAGGAAAUCAAAUGGCGCACACAUCAUUAGGCAUGAAGAAGUUGGCAUUUCAGGUCAGGCACAGUGGCUCAGCCUGUAAAUCCCAUCACAUGGGAGGCCCAGGCAGGAGGAUCGCUUGAGUCCAGGAGUUUGAGACCGGCUUGAGCAACAUGGUGAAACCCUGUCUCUACAAAAAAA